rnacentral:lncRNA from 1 species
GUCUGCUUGAUGGUCACCAGGAGAUUUUUGCUCUCCUCAAUUAACAUUUAAGAAUAUGGAGGAGCCAGGCACAGUGGCUCACACCUGUAAUCCCAGCACUUUGGAAGGGAGAGGCAGGCAGACGGCUUAAGCUCAAGAGUUUGAGAUCAGCAUGGGCAACAUGAUGAAACCCCAUCUCUACAAAAAACACAAAAAUCAGCUAGGUAUGAUGGCAUGCACCUGUAGUCCCAGCUACUGAGGAGGCUGAGGUGGGAAAAUUGUUCAAGCCUGGUAAGUUAAGGCUGCAGUAAGCUGUGAUAGCGCCACUGCACUCCAGCCUGGGCGACAAAGUGAGAUCCUGCCUCAAAAAAAAUAGAAUAUAGAGAGCCUGGCAUAGUGGCUCAUGCCUGUAAUCCCAGCACUUUGGGAGGCCAAGGUGGGAGGAUCUCUUGAGCAGUUCAAGAUCAGCCCGGGCAACUUAGUGAGACCCUGUGUCUAAAAAAAAAAAAAAAAGUGAAAUUAGCCAGGUGUAGUGGUGCUAGCUAGUGAUCCUAGCUACUCCGGGGGCUGAGGUGGAUGGCCUGAGCCCAGGAGGUCGAAGCUGCAGUGAGUCUAUAUCGCACCACUGCACUCCAGCCUGGGCAACACACCAAGACCCUGCCUCUCACAAAACAGAAAGAAUAUGGGAGAGGAGGGAUUUGGGAGUCAACCUCAUGUCCAAAUCCAAUCCCACCACCAAUUCACCGGUGAGAGGUGAAGUCAGCUGGACUUCCUGAGUCAAGUGGGGACUUGGAGAACUUUUCUGUAACUAGCUACAGGUUUGUAAAAUGGACCAAUCAGCAGGACAUGGGCAGGGACAAAUAAGUGAAUAAAAACUGCCCCCACCCCCACACCCCCCUACACCACCAGCCUGCAGCAGGCAACCCACUUGGGUCUCCUUCCAUGCUGUGGAAGCUUUGUUCUUUUGCUCUUUAGGUUCGUGCCAACUUUAAGCUGUAACACUCAGGGCGAAGGUCCGCAGCUUCAUUCUUGAAGUCAGCGUAGACCACGAACCCACCGGAAGGAACCAUAUUCCGGACACACCAGGACCCUGGGAAUCCCUUCACUGCCUGAGGGACCUGUCCUAGGUGCCAGAGUGAGCAGGGAGGAACACAGGUGUGUCUCGGUGGCUGGAGAACCCAGCCAGGACGACGCCCAGUUUGGAACUGUACCGAAGCUGAGCCCUGCCUUGCACGGCUGAAGCUUAGCCACAGAGGCGGAACUUCCCUGGCUUUUCCUGGAAGCGGAAGCCGUGAAAUGGCCAAAGCACAAGACAGGGUGGUGCAGUUUUGCUCCCGCGCGAUCACCGUUGGCCACGCGCCUCGGUCUCUAUCUGUAAAAGAGAUCCGCAUCUCUGGUAUUUGAUGCUGGAGAGAAAAAUGUGCGGCCUCCGCCCAACCUUGAGUUUCCUGCUCCACCGCGCCCUCUCGUGGUUAACUGGACUCACGGCUUUCUCGCCCCCAACCCCAACCACCUAAAUUGCGGUUCUCAACCUUGGCUGAGCGUGGGAAUCACCCGGGGACCUGCGAAACACCGAUGCCUGGGUACCGGACUCUAUCCGCGCCUCCCCCUGCGAGAGAUUCUGACUUAAUUGGCCUGAUGCAAUCCGGGCGUCCCCUGGGGAUCACAGUGUGCAGUCAAGGCUGGGAAACACUGACCCACCUCUGCUCUGCCAGGGAUCCUGCGUUUGGCUGACGACAUUUCUCUUGUCAGAGCCCACCGGACUCUGCUUUCCGGAUAUAAAGGAUCCUUUUGCAAGUCUAAACACCUCAAUGUCGGCAUCACACCCUCAAGCAUCCACCCUCUACUCCUGAAAUACUCAUGAUUAAUAUGUGCUUUUAAUUUCUAUUGCUGGAGAAAAUGUUUCUGAAAAAUUGCACUUACAUAAAUAGAUAAGGCAUAUUAUUUGUAUUAUCUGCUGACAACAUCCGUGAUGUGUGCAUGUGUGUGCUGCGUAUGCACAGAGCUUCCUCACUAUAAUUUCAGGAGCUUCUCAGGGCCUUAGGUCAGAGAUCCGCUAGCCGUGCCAGGGCACUCUGGCCCUAAUGUUAAAAAUAGACCAUGGCUUUAGCCACUCCUGUCAGUAUCUUGUCUCACUGCCCAGUGCUCCAUUCAUCAGGAGAAAUUCCUGAGCUGCUGCCCAGCCAGUCAGCCAGGCCCAACUGAAAUUCCCAGGGGGCCUGUGAGGGGGGUCACACGUACUCUUAGCUUCUAGGCUGGACCUCAGGACUCCUAGCAGAAGGAUAUCCACUGUGGCCCUGCGACCUUGUCAAUCGUUUGAUUCACAGCCUCUCAGUGACACUGGCACUCAAUGAGAUGGGCUCCUUUCAUGACACGGUCACCACCAUCAUCACAAUCUCCAGCAUUUUUGGGUUCCUACUAUGUGUACAGCAGUUUUCAGGAACAUUUAUUAUUUAUUUAUUGAGACAAGAGUUUCCCUCUGUCACCCAGGCUGGAGUGCAGUGACAUGAUCUCAGCUCACUGCAACCUCAGCCUCCUGGGCUCAAACGAUUCUUGUACCUCAGCCUCCCAAGUAGUUGGGAUUACAGGCACUCACCACCACACUAGCUAAUUUUUGUAUUUUUAGUAGAGAUGGGGUUUCGCCAUGUUGGCCAGACUGGUCUUGAACUCCUGACCUGAAGUGAUUUGCCCACCUCGGUCUCUCAAAGUGCUGGGAUUACAGGUGUAAGCCUCCAUGCCUGGCCUAUUUUAAAGGAACUUAUAAACAUUAGAAAAUAGUGUCUUUGUCAUCCAAAAAUGUAUAGUCCAGUGGGAGAGAGGGUAAUAACAUGGGGACAUGUGAGAAAAUAAAGUUCUG